UCCAGACUCCUACGGGAGGCAGCAGUGGGGAAUAUUGCACAAUGGGGGAAACCCUGAUGCAGCGACGCCGCGUGAAGGAUGAAGUAUUUCGGUAUGUAAACUUCUAUCAGCAGGGAAGAAAAUGACGGUACCUGACUAAGAAGCCCCGGCUAACUACGUGCCAGCAGCCGCGGUAAUACGUAGGGGGCAAGCGUUAUCCGGAUUUACUGGGUGUAAAGGGAGCGUAGACGGCAUGGCAAGCCAGGAGUGAAAGCCCGGGGCCCAACCCCGGGACUGCUCUUGGAACUGCGCGGCUGGAGUGCAGGAGGGGCAGGCGGAAUUCCUGGUGUAGCGGUGAAAUGCGUAGAUAUCAGGAGGAACACCGGUGGCGAAGGCGGCCUGCUGGACUGCGACUGACGUUGAGGCCCGAAAGCGUGGGGAGCAAACAGGAUUAGAUACCCUCGUAAA
rnacentral:rRNA from 1 species